rnacentral:rRNA from 1 species
AUUGAACGCUGGCGGCAUGCCUUACACAUGCAAGUCGAACGGCAGCAUGACGUGUAGCAAUACACGUUGAUGGCGAGUGGCGAACGGGUGAGUAAUAUAUCGGAACAUGUCCCGUAGCGGGGGAUAGCCCGGCGAAGACCGGAUUAAUACCGCAUACGCUCCAUGGAGGAAAGGCGGGGUCGGCAAGACCUCGCACUAUGGGAGUGGCCGAUANCGGAUUAGCUAGUUGGCGGGGUAAAGACCCACCAAGGCGACGAUCCGUAGCUGGUCUGAGAGGAUGAUCAGCCACACUGGAACUGAGACACGGUCCAGACUCCUACGGGAGGCAGCAGUGGGGAAUUUUGGACAAUGGGCGCAAGCCUGAUCCAGCCAUGCCGCGUGAGUGAAG